GUUCUCCCCAAGGAUUUGUAGUUAUUUUGGUCGGUGCUUCCUUCCGCUGCAAUUCCGUCUGUGGUUCACUGCCACUGGCCUUGCUUUUUCAACGAUAUAACUGUUUUCUUGUGAUUUUUGCUGCUGCAAUCCCGUCUGUGGUUCACUGCCACUGGCCCUGCUUUUCCAACGAUAUAACUGUUUUUUUGGUAACUUCUACCGCUAAGACUUUGUUGCUUUUUCCCUUUUCCCUAAAAAACAUAAUAGUGCUACAAAGCUCAAUAACAAUAUGGAAACAAAUGUUAAUAAGCCACAAUAAUAUUGACAAUAAAUAAGAUUUCACUACGA